UUAUAGCUAUAGUUAUUUGGUUUUAUGUUUGAUUGAGAAAUAUACAUAAUUUAUAACUAAUAUUAUCUAUUUUAUUUAUCAAAGUCUAUCUUCUUAGAAAGAAAGAAAUGGAAGGUGCCUACAACAUCAUCUAUGGUUGCCCAAAGACAAUUUUAAGUUAGCUGAAAGUCUCAGAAUUGCAUUGUUCCCAAUUGAUGAAGUACACCAUGUUUCUACAUUAUAGAGUUGGUGUAGUAGGUUCAAAUAUUUGGGAUUUGGUGAAACACUUGGAAUCUUCUAAGUUUGAAACUUCCAAUCCGUAAGAUAAUCUAGUUGCUAAAAAUACCGGUCGUAAGCGAGAACAUGCCCAAUCUAUCAUAGUCAACUCGUUUGCUUCUAUCGUCAAGCACUACUCAAAGGGACAGGGUUAGAAGAUUGAUUUUGGAAGUCGGCUACAACAACUACUACUUUAGAGCAUAUUCGGAUUGAAUUUCUAAGUACUUAAGAAUACUUUAUUUAUACUUUAAAACACUUAUUUAAGUACUUAGAAAGUCAAUCCACAUAACGCUUUAAUUUAUGAGUGGAAAUGUGCUAAUUCAUUACUUAUAUCCUAUAAAACUUCUAGUUCACCUCAUGUUUCUCAUUUUUCUCUUUCAUAUUAGUUCUCAACGUUAAAGUAAAGUCUACAUCCUAAACUCCCAUCUUCGACCUUCACAUCUCAUUUAAAUGUUAGAUUUUUGCGAGACUUGCAUUCGGUCAAGGAGGAAUGCUAAGCUUCAAUGGAGUUACACAUAUCACUCAACAUAUUUGUCAAGCAGGGAUAAGAGACUUCUCAAAUUUUUUGAUGUAAAUUAAAUACUAAUGGAUGCAUCAUUUUAAAAAGGUGGAGACUAAAGGAUCCUUAAGUGUCUUAAACUAGAAAGUUGAGAUUGCAUUGGUUUUUUCUUUUAAUGUAAUUUGUACAACAUGUUGACCCCAUAAAAAAUAUGGUUAUUUUUAUGGAAUGUUAUAUUGAUUGAAACAUCCC